rfam:Columba livia unplaced genomic scaffold scaffold171, whole genome shotgun sequence.
UACUGUGGUGGUUUCUGUCUUUGGCAGAUCUGUAACAAUACCAGAGCGGCCUUAAACUACCACAGAGAUCAGAACGGAGACGGCUGUGCUGAGAACUUUGUCAAGCUUUCAGUUUUCAGCUUUUUGUUCAGCUCCUACAGUA